UACGGGGGGGGCAAGCGUUGUUCGGAAUUACUGGGCGUAAAGGGCUCGUAGGUGGCCAACUAAGUCAGACGUGAAAUCCCCAGGCUCAACUUGGGAACUGCGUCUGAUACUGGAUGGCUUGAAUUCGGGAGAGGGAUGCAGAAUUCCAGGUGUAGCGGUGAAAUGCGUAGAUAUCGAGAGGAACACCAGUGGCGAAGGCGACUCGCUGGACUGAUACUGACGCUGAGGUGCGAAAGCGUGGGGAGCAAACAGG
rnacentral:rRNA from 1 species